GGACUACUAGGGUUUCUAAUCCUGUUUGCUCCCCACGCUUUCGCGUCUCAGCGUCAGUGUCCGUCCAGGUCGCCGCCUUCGCCACUGGUGUUCCUCCCGAUAUCUACGAAUUUCACCUCUACACCGGGAAUUCCGCGACCCUCUCCGGCACUCAAGCUCGCCAGUUUCCUGCGCACUUCCUUGGUUAAGCCAAGGGCUUUCACACAGGACUUAACAAGCCGCCUACAAGCGCUUUACGCCCAAUAAUUCCGAACAACGCUCGCACCCUCUGUAUUACCGCGGCGGCUGGCAC
rnacentral:rRNA from 1 species